rnacentral:rRNA from 1 species
GUGGGGAAUAUUGCACAAUGGGCGAAAGCCUGAUGCAGCGACGCCGCGUGAGGGAUGACGGCCUUCGGGUUGUAAACCUCUUUCACCAGGGACGAAGCGCAAGUGACGGUACCUGGAGAAGAAGCACCGGCCAACUACG